CGUCGCUGUCCGAUGAAAACCGCGUAUGUCCAUUUUUGCCGAUUUUGAGAUUUUACGAUGAUAGUUAUGUCCAGGUUCAUUUCCGUAUACAGUAUGCGUCAUGAACCUAAUUGACCAAUGAAAAGUUGUGAAACACGUCAUCUGAUUUUCAAGUAUAUCCAUUUGGUGUCAAAGCUGUCAGUCCCGCCGCGUAUCUCCCGCCCUGUGGAGUCAUCUCAUUAGCGUCUCUGGAAGCGCAUCAUCGGGUAGCCGAAUAACACUUUGAAGGAUGUCUUUCUCUCUUAAGGAGAUGUGUGAAAUGGUCAAUGUCAGGUAUGAUAGGGUACUUGAGGCGAACGUGAGGGUCAACAAUGAGGAGGAAGGUUUGUAGGAAACUAAAAUUGAGUCAACCAGACAGGAAAGUCUAAACUGUAUUCAUUACUCUAAAUGGUUUCCCUCUGUCAUUUUCAGAUUCAGUUGAAAGUGACAGUGCAAAUACAGCUGCCAAUGAGGGUAUGUACUUUAGGCUUAAAUUAUUUUUCUCCCAGUAGCAGCUACCUACUAUUCUGCAACCCAAAGCCUAUUGAUGUGUUGCACAUUAAGAUGAAAGCCUGCCACACUUGUUGUUCUGAUUCCCUUGAUCAAGGAAGGAAUCCAAAUACUAACUCAUCAAAUUGUAUGUAGCUAAAUUAAAAAUGAUUACUCGUAGAGAAUAGGUACGUUUGCUGCUCAGUUCUGAAUUUUUAAAGCAUUGUCGUGUGCUAAAUGUACAUUAUAUUUUAUUGUUGUUAGAUUCUCUGGAAAGUGAUAAUGACAAUCACUCUGAAAGUGCCAGUGAUGGUAAGUAUCUUAUUAUUCUUAUUCUCAGAUUAGGCUACACUACAGCCUCCACCUCACAUUGGUUUUGAGUUGGACAGACUAAAGCCCAUUACUAAUUACAAAUCUAGUGUAUUUAAUCAAUUAUGAGUCCAAAUGAAUGCAAUCUUAUAUCAGAAUGAUGUCAUAAGUGCAUUUGUUGUACUAAAUGUGUUCCUCUAUAUUGCUCUAAGACUCACUUGAACACGAUCCUGAAAAUGACCCGGAAUACACACCUGUCAAUGAAGGUGAGUAACUUAUUGUCAAUUUGUUUUUUUACAUUUCUGUCAGCUACUAAUGGGCUCAGCCACACACACACACACACACACACACACACACACACACACACACACACACACACACACACACACACACACCACUGCCAAACUUUAAUGCAUGCCUACACACUGACACACAUACUUCCACAUGCUAAGAAACCAUGUAAGAGAAAUGUGAAUUUGUGAAACAUGUUUUCUUUUGUUUUUCUUUUAAUCAUAAGCUGUUGAUGUUGAUGUUGCUGUUGACCGGGGAAGGUCAAGAAAGAGGGCCAACCCAGACGCUUGGAAGGGUAACAUUCAGAAAAGGAGAAGAAUGAGGGGCCAAUCAUAUCUUGGACGAAAAAAAAAUGAAUUCAUCAACAUAGAAGAAAGAAAAAUGGAGGGGCGGUGCCUGGCUGAGGCCUGCCGGAAAUCCAGCAAACUACACUGCACCGAAAUCGAUGAAGGGAAGAGGGAAAAAAUAUUCAAGUAUU